rnacentral:tRNA from 1 species
GGGGGUAUAACUCAGUGGUAGAGUGUAUGUUCAGCAUAUGCAAGGCCCUGGGUUCAAUCCCCAACACCCACA